AUGGUUGGGAUAGCUC
rnacentral:tRNA from 1 species